AUGAAGUCUAGGGUAAAUUUGUGCACCUUUUUGAAUGGCAUCUUUGACCAUUUUUGUCAUUCGUAUUUUUUAAAAAAGUUUUACACUUUGAAAAUGAGCUCGAUGGCAUUAUAUAUAUUCCAGUCUUUAUGGACAUCCUUUAAAAAAAAAAAGAUUUUAUGUAUUUAUUCAUGAGAGACAAAAAGGAGAGAGAGAGAGGCAGAGACACAGGCAGAGGGAGAAGCAGGCUCCAUGCAGGGAGCCCGGUGUGGGACUUGAUUCCGGGUCUCCAAUAUCAUGUCCUGGGCCGAAGGCAGACACUCAACCGCUGAGCCAGCCACCCAGGCGUCCCUAUGGACAUCCUAAUAGACUGUUUUGUGUGUCUUUUUCAAUGGAAUUCAUAUAAAAUAAAUUAUACUUCUUACAUAUCAGUAAUAAAUAUGCUGUUUGCUUAUAGAACAUACUUAUUAAAUUUUUACUGCAUUGUAUGUCACUAAUCUUUGAUAGGACACACGAAACUUUUUAAAGCAAUCACAUUGUGUGGUUUAGGAAUUCAAUUAUCUUUAAUAUGGAUUAUCUGUUACGGUCUUGUUUUGUGCAAAUUUGAAUUAUGUGAGUUUGGGAAGUUUGAUAUCUGAAAAAUGUCAAUAAGAUCCCUAUAAAAACAAUUUGAAAUAAUGCAAAUCUGUCCAAAUUAAUUUUUUUUAAAGCUGUCCAGAAUUUCAAGAAUUUAGCACUGUAGGCCAAAUGUGUUUACGCUCGGUCAUGCAGCAGCCUCACUUUGCUUGGUGAAUAGAAAUCCUGCCAUCCAAUGUUAGCUCUGUACUCCAGGUGUAGAUGAGCCUUCAGGAACUUACCCUUCAUGUGAAAUUUGAAAACUCCACUAGUUACUGAUGAGCAGAAAAAAUUUAAAAACACUUUUUUCUUAUUCUAAAAUACAGCCCUAUUGUAAAAAAUCUGAGAAAUGAAGAAAAGAGUAAAGUAAAAUUGCUAAGGGGAAAUUGUAAGGAAACAAAAAUUACACAUUAACAAAUU
rnacentral:lncRNA from 1 species